CCAAUAGCGUAUAUUAAAGUUGUUGCAGUUAAAAAGCUCGUAGUUGAAUUUCGGGAUCAAUAUAACGGUCAUGCCGUUGGUAUGCACUGUUAUAAUUGAUUUCUCACCUUCUAAAGAACCGUAAUGCCAUUAAUUUUGUGUCACGGGGAAUUAGGACUGUUACCUUGAAAAAAUUAGAGUGUUUAAAGCAGGCUCACGCUUGAAUACAUUAGCAUGGAAUAAUGAAAUAGGACAUCCGAUUCUAUUUUGUUGGUUUCUAGGAUCGAUGUAAUGAUUAAUAGGGAUAGUUGGGGGCAUUAGUAUUCAAUUGUCAGAGGUGAAAUUCUUGGAUUUAUUGAAGACUAACUACUGCGAAAGCAUUUGCCAAGGAUGUUUUCAUUAAUCAAGAACGAAAGUUAGGGGAUCGAAGACGAUCAGAUACCGUCGUAGUCUUAACCAUAAACUAUGCCGACUAGGGAUCGGAUGAUGUUAAUUUUUUAAUGACUCAUUCGGCGCCUUACG
rnacentral:rRNA from 1 species